UACGUAAGUGGUGGAAAUUAAACCAAAUGGGAUAUCUUUAGUAAUUGCGAAUGAACAAGGAUAUGCUUAGCUUGACAAAUGGAGCUAUUGGCUUUGAAUUGUAUUUGUGGAAUGUAUUACCAACAGAGGUGCAGGUGCCAGCCUAUUAAAUAAAGCGUCAAUGAGGGUGAGAAUCCUGUUUGUCAUGUGCAGCCCUUUGUGCACGGUGUAUAUUUGCUGAGUCACACUCCUUGGCAUUGGAAUGCAAAGUGGGUGGUAAGUUUCAUGUACAGGUAAACAUGCAAUUGAGACUGAUAGCACACAAGUACCAUGAGGGAAAUAUGAAAAGGACUUUGAACAGAGAAUUAAAUGAGUUUGUAUUUGCUGAACACAAAGUAAACAGACUUGAUUUGCUUGGUGGGAGUGUUGCACUUGCUUGACAAGAGCUUUGGGCUGUGGGCGUAAUGAUUCUUUCUUUGCAUGCCAGUUUCUAUGUGUACAUCUGAUUACCUUUGCACAUGAAUGAUAAGUCUCCUGUGGGGGGUGGAUUGCAUGUGCAUGUAAUGAUUUGUGUUUUGAUAAAUGUGUCUGGUGUAUGUGUGUGUGUUCCUGUGCUUGGGGAUGCUUCCUUCCUUGGACUUACAAGCCCUGACACACACAUGCUGGCAAAAUGCUUCUGCUUGACCCG
rnacentral:rRNA from 1 species